CAGGGCCAGCAGCGGAGGCUGAGAGGGGCCCAGCUCAGCUGGUCUUUAAUUCAGUGCAGAGCAUCUUGGACAUCGAGAAGGCAGCAAUAAGAAGCUCGCCGGCCACUGUGUACACACAGGAGCAUGGAGCAUAAUGGAGUGACACCGGCUACCCUCUCCUUAGACUCCUUCGUAGACCUGAGCCUCCCACGGUGAAGAAACAAGGGCGGGAGACACAUGAUCUUAACUCUCUUGGUAGCAAUAAGCCAUACAUUCCAAAUCGAAGAAUUUCCUCAAGUGGUGAUCAGCUGAAUGACCCGGCCUCCCCUCCAUCCACCCCACACCCCCUACCCCCAGCUCACGGGCUGUAUUGUGAUUCAUUGAUCUUAUAACAGUUACCUUUCUAAAAUGCAUGUCUAUAAGAGUCCACAGAAUUAUAAACACAAUUUAGAAUGUUAAUAUAAAAUUAUCAUGUAACAUAAAUAGCGAGACAGUUUGGGGUGCUCUGUGGUUCUGCAAUUUGGUGAUUCUCAUUGAAAACACUACUCUUGAAAUUCUUUGGAAGAUAAUAAGUUCAUCGUUAUAUAGUCAGAAUUCUCUUUUCCUUGUAAAACCCUGACCCCUUAGCGUUGUAUUAAAUUCCACUCACAAAGAGAAAGAAAAAUCUGCUAUUUGUGUACUUUUGCCAACCAACAAAUUCCCAAGUACUACUCCUCAAAUGAUUCCCAGCAUAAACUUCAGUGAAAUGUGAAUAAAAAUUGUAAAUGAGCUCUCAGCCUUUUAAUAUUCUCUCACUUGAGGAACAACGUUGGGCUGGCCGAAGCAGGUGCUGAAAUAUUUUCCUGUAGCCUAAUAUCUUACCCCCAUGCAGAGUAAAUUUGGAACUUCACCCUUUACAGGCGCAAGCCAUGGCUGAGGUCAGAUUCAACUCUUCUUUUUUUUUUCCUUAAAGAUUGGCACCUGAGCUAACAACUGUUGUCAAUCUUCUUUUUUUUUUUUUCUGCUUUUUC
rnacentral:lncRNA from 1 species